ensembl:lncRNA
GAAAACUCAGUUUUUCCAAAAAGCUGGAUAUGGGCUUCCUCUGCAUGCAGGCCAGGUAAAAACCCAUGGCAACCACCGUAAUGCCAGCAACAAAAUGACUGGGAGUGACACUCUGCAAAUGGUACAGCAUCUACAGAUGACUUCUGAUACGUGCCAGUGUGUGAGGAGAAGGAAGCAUUUCCUGAGAGCAGAUAUGUGAAGAUAUUCAGGCUCCCUUUAGGUACUAGAAGGCUGCAAUGAGGACUCCCCACAGCCUUCUGUUCUCCAUGCUGAACAAGCCCAGCUCCCUCAACCUGUCUUUGUAGUGGAGGUGCUCCAGCCCUCUGAUCAUCUCUGUGACCCUUCUCUGGAGGUUUUCUGUAAACAAUAAAGAAAAAGCAGAAGACAAGAAAAAAGGAGGCUGUAGGAGGCCACCCAGCAGGCUGAGCGUAUGUCCCAGUUUGAGAAGAUGCUGCUGCAGCUGUGCCACCCCUUUCUGACUCCUGCUGGACUGCAAGGGCCUUCAGUGCCAAGGAACUGGUGUUGUGAAGAAAGAUUGAGGAUGACAGCGCUGUAACUGCUGGUAUUCUACUGAGCACGUUCCCUGUAAAACGUGCUGGCUGUGAUCCUCCUUUCCUCCGGAGGCACGGAUUUGUGUGCACUCUGUUCCCUGCAGUGUUCUCUCUGUGUACAACACUCAUUGCUCAUAUUUCAGUGAGGGCUUCUUGUGAAGCUCUGUGUGCUAAGUGUUCCUGCUGCUGAUGGGCACCAGCACAGGGCUUCGUGCAGAGGGGCACAGUGGCACUCACUGCCAGCACGUGCUGGCCUGCAGAAGCAGAGCAGAAAGCUCUCAGUCACCACAAGCUGUGCUGCCAGAUGUCAAGGGAUGUGAAAAGCCAGCAGCUGGUGAUCAGCCCAUGUGAAUGGUGACAGAAGUGAUUCCCGCCCAGAAGUGUCCCAGUGGCUACUGGAGGCGGACCGCUACUGACAUCCAUAUGCUGAUCAUAACACAGGUAGUGGUUUCUCCACCUUUCUGGCCAUUCUGCUUGUGCAUCUGAGCACCUCCAGUACCACAGCAGAAUACUUUUAUUCAGCGUUGCCUAUGUAGUGAGCGUAUCUUAAACUCUGCCCCACCUGUUGUACAUCUGCAAACACACAGGUAGAACUUAUAUGCUGAUCUGUUAGAUGCUGGCUUAUCUCACUUGUCUGUAAGACCUUCAUGCAGUGAAGGCUCAUGUGAGUGCAGAGACUCAUCUCCCCAGGUUGCCUGUGUCACUGGGGAGAGAUGCAUCUCCAAGGGUGAUUCACAUGGCCUCUAUGGGAUGAAUCAUCCCAGAGGUCCCUGCUUAACUCUGCUUUGUUCCCUUUGGGGAGCAACACGUCUGCUUUAAAUGAG